CACAUGCAAGUCGUNCGGGAGNUUUUAACUCAAGUGGCGGACGGGUGAGUAACACGUGAGAAUUUACCUUUAGGAGGGGGACAACAACUGGAAACGGGUGCUAAUACCCCAUAUGCUUUCGAGUGAAAUGAAUUUAUUCNGCCUGAAGAGAAGCUCGCGCCUGAUUAGCUUGUUGGUAGGGUAAGAGCCUACCAAGGCGACGAUCAGUAUCUGGUUUGAGAGGACGAUCAGACACACUGGAACUGAGACACGGNCCAUACUCCUACGGGAGGCAGCAGUGGGGAAUUUUCCGCAAUGGGCGAAAGCCUGACGGAGCAAUACCGCGUGAGGGAAGACGGCCUAUGGGUUGUAAACCUNUUUUUUCAGGGAGGAAUUCAAUGACGUGUACCUGAAGAAUAAGCAUCGGCUAACUCCGNGCCAGCAGCCG
rnacentral:rRNA from 1 species